GCGCUGAGUAGCUAUGUUCGGCAGGAAUAACCGCUGAAAGCAUAUAAGUGGGAAAUCCUUCUGAAGAUAAGAUCUCCCUGGGAGCAAUCCCCUAAAGACCCCGGGAAGAUGACCSGGUUGAUAGGUCACAGAUGUAAGUAUGGUAACAUAUUGAGUCGAGUGAUACUAAUAGGUCGUGAGGCUUGACCAUAUUACA
rnacentral:rRNA from 1 species